AGGAGGAAGAUCUCCCCUUCGCCCAACACUACCUCUCCAACCAUCCUUUAUUCUUUAUUUCUACCUCUCCGAAGCCCUACUGAAUCAAUUUGAAUUUGUAAAAAAUCAAAUCAAACUAAUAUAACCUAACCCACACACACACACACUCCUUUUAGAAGUUCAACCCAACCCUAACCCUUUUAUCAUUAUUCCACUUUCACCUAUUUGCCUUUUCUUAUCUGAUGGGAACAAAUGCCCAU
rnacentral:lncRNA from 1 species